rnacentral:misc_RNA from 1 species
GGAACAAAGAACCGUAGAAGGUAAUAUAACAUAAUUCGGUAGAUAGAGAAUAGAAAUAAUAAUAAUAGAAAAGGAAUCUGGUAAACUUCAAAAAAAAAAAAAAAAAAAAAAAUAAUACUGGAUCUCAACCUACGUCUUCCAACAAGUAAAGCUUGCAAGAUCUCACACCUUUCUUAGUUUUUCCUGCACUCCAACUAUGAAUCCUGUUCAAAUGCAAAUAGACUUAGCCAAGACACUUCUAAUGUACUAUACAAAUUCACUGCUAAUUUCCAAGGCACCAAACAGCCCGCCCAACUAUGACGUGAACAAACCUGUCUGGAUCAUAAUUGCUAAAUACAACUAUGAGAGUGUAGCGUUCUGUUCUGUUAUGUUCUGCAUAUGCAGUACCCCCUGCAAGUGGCUUGCCUCAGUAGCAUGCACAGUGCCUCAAAUUUGUUACAGUU